rnacentral:lncRNA from 1 species
UUUGACAAGCCAACUUAUACAGAUAAGUGACCUAGUGUUAGCCAAAAAUCAAGGUCCAAAGAGUUUCGAAGCACAUUGUUCACUCUCUUUAGCAUAACCACAAUUUCAUCAAAAGAAAACUAACCACCAUGUUGUAGUUGUCAACACAAUAACUUUGCUGCAGGAUCACGUUAUCUCCUCCAAUACACUUCUCAUUCAUCAAUGGAAAAUCCGCCCUUUUGGUGUGUCCCUAGGAAUGCCUUUCUAUUCCUAUGCUCAAAGGUGUUUGGCAGCUAGGUUGUGCAUUAUUACCAGCCAUUGCUUUAGCACCCACAUUAAGAAUAUUACUUUGCAAUUCAUGCAAGGAAAUUCACUUCAAUACACUUCUCAAAAGAAAAGAAAACUAACCACCAUGUUGUAGUAGUCAACACAAUAACUUUGCUGCAGGAUCACUUUAUCUCCUCCAAUACACUUCUCAUUCAUCAAUGGAAAACCAGCCCUUUUGGUGUGUCCCUACGAAUGCCUUUCUAACCACUUCCUGACGUAAUGCUUCCAAUGGUCAAAGGUGUUUGGCAGCUAGGUUGUGCAUUAUUACCAGCCAUUGCUUUAGCACCCACAUUAAGAAUAUUACUUUGCAAUUCAUGCAAGGAAAUUCACUUCAACAACUGACUCUGAAGCUCCCUCAAACCAUC